UUGGCAAGCGUGGUUAAAUGUUAUCCUGUCACAUAACGUGUUACAUAGUUACUUUUGUUUACUGGAGACAUAACCUUGCGAAACAAACUUCAAGUUGAUUUUAAUUAGACUCCGUUAAGGUUGACAUUACGUGUUGAGACUUUGGACAAAUGCUAGAUUGGUGUGUUUUGUUUUGUUUAAUAAUCAAUUAGCUUUAAUACCUAAGUUAUUUGAGUUAAAUCAAAUAUAUUGAGAUCAAAAGCUUCAGGGUUGAACAAAAUGGCGACCUUUUCACAGUCCACCAUCGAAAAAGGAUCUGACAUCGUCCAAGACUUCUUGUGUUCGGCGUGCGAAGACAAGAAACUGGAAAUCUCAGCUGAUAAUAUUUGCGGAUCUUGCGUGAAGUUUUACUGCCAAUCAUGUAUUCAUUUGCAUCGCCAGUUGUUUACAAACCAUUCUACUCAUGGAAGGGGAAAUAUGAAGAAAUGGCCAGUUGCGAAGACGGUGGAAGAUUUUCUUCUUAAAUGUGAUGUUCACAAAGAAGAAAACUUGGCAAUGUUUUGCAAAGACCACUGCAAGCUGUGUUGCAAUAAUUGUGCAUUCCUUAAUCACAGGCAAUGCCAAACAGUGAUGAUCUUAUCAGACUUAGUAAAACAUACCUCCACAGACCUCAAAAAAGUAUCAGCUACUAUCCAAACUACUCUGGCAGAACUUAAAAAACUUCAAGACAACCAGGAGGCAAGCGUACGGUCUGUGCAAAGUUCCUUCGAUGAGCAAUUAAAAGAGAUACAGGAAACUCGCAAAAAAUAAUUGAAGCCUUAAACAUGCUUGAAAAGAAGACACUGAACGAUAUGAAAGAUGCGCUGGGAAAUCUGCAAGCCUCUCUAAAAGCAAAUGUUGACAAAUGUGCCACUCUUCGUGAUCAAUUAAAGCAACUUGGAGAUGCAAUACAUGACUUAAGUGAUAAAAGCAAGCAAUAACUAUCUCUUAUAGCCAGAUUUAAAUGCCAGGACAAAAUACAGCAGUUUGAAAAUGAGAAGAAGAACUUUGUUCAAGUAAGAUCUUCAAUCACUUUCCAACCUAAUAGAAAAAUUGUGAAGUACCUUUCUAAGUUGUCAGGUCUUGGGAGGGUUGAAACCAGUACCCAGAUAUUGACAAUGCCGGGAAAUCCAGACAAAGUAAUAAGGCUGAAAGAGAAGUAUGAGUAUGACGUGCGCACGCGAGGUGAUUCAUAUGAAGAGUAUGCAGUAUGCAGUAUCAGAGACAUUUGUGUUCUCCCUAGGGGACAGGUCUUGGUUGCAGACGCGAUGAAUAAUAAUGUCAAGCUGUUGAACCAGCAGUACAAGGUGUUGAGUCACUGUGUUAAACUUGAUACGCCAUCGGGCAUUUUUCAGAUCACACCCAGUGAGGUUGGCGUCACUUCUGGUUCAGUAGUCCAGUUUAUCAAAGUCAACUAAAGCCGACUGGUGACAGACAGAAAGCUAACAUUACAACGUGAAUGUAAAGUAGAUGUAUGUGCAGUGAGCCCGACAGGUGACAAAUUGUACAUCACCAGCCACUACCAGCACAGGAUACUCACCCUUGCCAGAGAUGGAUCAGUCCUUGCCACAUUCAGGGACCAAGAAUUACAAUGGCCAACUGGUGUACACGUUACAUCUGCAGGCCAGGUGCUGGUAUGUGGAUAUGAUUCAAAGACAAUCAUUCAGGUUAACCGUAAUGGCAGUAAAAAGCUGGCAACUCUGGCUACAGAGAGGGAUGGGCUUCAGGGAGGCACAUGGUCCGUCUGCUACAACAGCAACAAUGAUUCCAUUAUCGUGGGGCAGUUGAACAACAGGAUACUGGUGUACAAAUUACAAUAGCUUAUCAUUCUUGUAUUUUAUAUGAGUAACAAUAAGUGAUAUACAUUAAAAUAGCUAUUACAUUGAGUGCUUUGUUACUUUGCAAAAAUAUUUUAAACAUAUAAUAUGUUUGUAGGAAUAAUGUAUGUAAAUAACAAUAGUUGUUUAUGUAAUAGUGCUGUGUAACCAUGCAAACAAACUUCAAAUGUGCAUACCAAUAGUUUUGUAAAAAAUAAUCUAAUAUUUUUUUUGUUUUUAAAAUCUAGCGUGUUUCUUAAUUGAUGAGUCUUAAGUGGCAAAUAUGAAUGUUUACUUUUGUUCUUAGAACUCAAUAUCUUAACAUAUUAUUUAUGAUACAAUAUGUUUGUAAAAUAGUUUAUAAGACAUUUUUUACUAUAAAGAACUCGUACAGAACAAUCAUGCUAGUGUUAGACCGUCAUGUAUAAGAUGCAUAGCAAUUAGGUUAUUAAUUUAUUUCUAUUUAAGUAGCAAUCAUAAAUCUAUCUUUAACUCACUGGUCUAUAAAAAUAGCUGAUAUAAUGUCAGUAGCAUUUAUUAAAACACCUUUUAAAUG